AAGACUUAAACUGAAGAGUUUGAUCAUGGCUCAGAUUGAACGCUGGCGGCAGGCCUAACACAUGCAAGUCGAGCGAGAAAGUUCCUUCGGGAGCGAGUACAGCGGCGGACGGGUGAGUAACACGUAGGAAUUUGCCCAAUAGUGGGGGACAACUCGGGGAAACUCGAGCUAAUACCGCAUACGCCCUACGGGGGAAAGCAGGGGAUUUUCGGACCUUGCGCUAUUGGAUAAGCCUGCGUCGGAUUAGCUAGUUGGUAGGGUAAAGGCCUACCAAGGCGACGAUCCGUAGCUGGUCUGAGAGGAUGACCAGCCACACUGGGACUGAGACACGGCCCAGA
rnacentral:rRNA from 1 species